CUACGGGAUGCACCAGUGAGGAAUAUUGCACAAUGGGGGGAACCCUGAUGCAGCAACGCCGCGUGGAGGAUGACGCAUUUCGGUGUGUAACCUCCUUUUAUAUGUCAAGAAAAUGACGGUAGCAUAUGAAUAAGCACCGGCUAACUCCGUGCCAGCAGCCGCGGUAAUACGGAGGGUGCAAGCGUUACUCGGAAUCACUGGGCGUAAAGGACGCGUAGGCGGGUUGGAAAGUCAGGUGUGAAAUCCUACAGCUUAACUGUAGAACUGCACUUGAAACUUCUAAUCUAGAGUAUGGGAGGGGGAGAUGGAAUUAGUGGUGUAGGGGUAAAAUCCGUAGAUAUCACUAGGAAUACCUAAAGAGAAGGCGAUCUCCUGGAACAUUACUGACGCUAAGGCGUGAAAGCGUGGGGAGCAAACAGGAUUAGAUACCCUUGUAGUC
rnacentral:rRNA from 1 species